GCUUAAAAUCCAAAAGACUUGACGGUGCCCCAUCCCCCUAGAGGAGCCUGUUCUAUAAUCGAUAAUCCACGUUUUACCUUACCACUUCUUGCUUCCAUUCAGCCUGUAUACCUCCGUCGCAAGCUUGCCAUAUGAAUGACACAUAGCAGGCUCAAUGACCUAUUUUCGCCAAUACGUCAGGUCAAGGUGCAGCUUAUGAAGUGGAAAGCAAUGGGCUACAAUUUCUAAUUUAGAACAAACGAACAACCAUCUGAAACUAUGGUCACGAAGGUGGAUUUAGUAGUAAAGAGAGAAAAUAAUGCUCUCUUUAAUAGCGGCCAUGGGACGUGUACAAACCGCCCGUCACCCUCUUCGACAGCGUAACCAAAGUCAAUAACACAUAACUGCUAUUUAGAGGAGGCAAGUCGUAACACGGUAAGCGUACUGGAAAGUGCGCUUGGAUAGGCAAAAUGUAGCUUAGAAAAGCACUCCGCUUACAUCGGAAAGACGUCUGUUAGACCCGGAUCAUUUUGAGCUAUUAAUCUA
rnacentral:rRNA from 1 species